GACCGGGGCUUCGGGCAGGGCGAGGGCCGUUGCCGGGGAUCGGGGCUCUCCCGGUCAAACGCCGACAGUGCCGGGGGCCUGGCGUGUCCCCCUGUCCCUCUGUCCCUCCGUCCCCUUGUCCCUCCAUCCGUCCCUCCAUCCAUCCCUCCGUCCCUCCAUCCGUCCCUCCGUCCGUCCCUCCAUCCGUCCCUCCAUCCGUCCCUCCGUCCCCCCGGCUGCCCGUCCUUCUCCUUGCAGGUGGCUCCGGGCUGUCCCCAUGGCGGAGGACUCGGGCUCCCGGGACUCGGACGGCAGCUGGGUGCUGGCGGGGGGCGAGGGCCUGCCCAUCGACACGGUGGGUCCAGAGCAGGAUCUGGCCUCCCGUGGGGCCGAGGAUGAGGAGCUGGAGGAGGAGGAGGAGGAAGGCGCUCAGGACACCGUUCCAGCCACUGUCACCAGCCAGACCCCCAGCCCCGAGGGCACCGUGCUGGGGGUGAGCCGGGGGGCCGGGGACCUGUCCUCCCCAGGGGGACACCCGAGCCCCCAGCGCCCACAUCUGCAGGACCCGGAGGAGUGUGGGGACACUGGGACAGCGGCCACCCCCGACGGCUCGGCGGAGCACAGCACGCCAGAUGGCGGGGAGCUGGCGGAGCCCGAUGCCAAGGCUGAGCCAGGCCCCAGCCCUGACACCCCCAAAGCAGGGCCACCAACGGAGGAGGGGAGCUGCAGCAGCAGCGACGAUGACACGGAGGGGCUGCGGCGACGGCAGGGCCAUGAGCCCCGUCCCGUCCCCCCGACUCCCGCGCCUGCCCUGCACCGGGGGACGCCGGACGCUGGUGACGAGGACGGGCUCAGCAUGAGCAAGUACCUGCUGGGCGCCCUGGCGCUGGUGGCCGUGGGGCUACUGGUCAUCUCCGGUGGCAUCUAUGACCCAGCCGACGGCCCCCUGGAGAGCGUGGUGACCCGGGACGUGGCCGCCGGGGAGCAGGAGUCGCCGCCGCCUGCCGACGGCAAUGACUCGCAGCAGAAGCCCCCCCCAUUGGACACCGGGGACCCCCAGAGCGUGCAGUCGGUCACCCUCCUCCUGGACAAGCUGGCCAAGGAGAACCAGGAGAUCCGGCUCAUGCAGGCAGAGCUGCAGGUGGGCGAGCGCGGCUGUGCCCUCGGGAGCUGCUUGAAGGACCAGGUGCCACCCUCCCCACCCCCACUCACGGUCCCCCCUCGCCCCCCGCUGCCUCCCC
rnacentral:lncRNA from 1 species